GACGGAGGAGGCAAGCGUUAUCCGGACUUAUUGGGCGUAAAGGGUACGUAGGCGGCUGGUCAAGUCUGGGGUCAAAGGCCACAGCUCAACUGUGGGAAGGCCCUGGAAACUGGCCGGCUAGAGUGAGGUAGGGGUUGCGGGAAUUCCCGGUGUAGCGGUGAAAUGCGUAGAGAUCGGGAAGAACACCUGAGGCGGAAGCGCGCAACUGGGCCUCAACUGACGCUGAGGUACGAAAGCUAGGGGAGCGAAGGGG
rnacentral:rRNA from 1 species